CCGGCUUGGCGGGGCUUACAAAUCAGACACCCCGAUUUCCCAUAUCAGCAGAACACUCGAAAAAUAUUUGAUGCCUGACCCUUGAGUCAGCCAGGAACACGACUGAAAGGUCUGUUUCCUGGACAAAUAGGCGCGCGAGAAGACGUCUGAAUGUUUGAGGAACAUGAACGCUCGUGUCCUUCUCACCGUGUACAUUUGCACACGUGAGCAUUAACCGAGUGGCGACGCAGUUGAAAUCACAAAGCCGGAAAGAUGAGGAAACCGAGAGCCAUCGAAGUUUCGUGACACGGCCAAGGUCAAACGGCAGACACGUGGCGGAGCCAGGAUUAGGACCCAGGUCUGGGCUCUACCUAUCUAGGCAAUGCUGCUUCUCGAUCAUCUAUCCAUCCUCCCUGAAAAAGUCGCCAUACAAAGCUCCGCGGCACCACAGCCAACCUGCCAUUGUGGGUCCGCUGCUCUAAGUGGAGGGCUGGAAGCCUGGCCCCCGAAGGGUUAAACUGCUCUUCUGGUGGAUAUUCCUCAGGCGGAGGGGGGCUCCCUGGCAGGUGCCAGGGGAAAGAGGAGGUAACAAAGCGAGAGUCUGGGCCACACGUAUUGUGGGCACACUUCAGCUAUUCACAGCCCAGACAGAGGAAAUGAA